rnacentral:sRNA from 1 species
AAUAUAUAUAUUUUUUGACAUCUUUGGAUCCACAAUGUCCAGUCCAUAGUUAAUCCUUAUUAUACGGAAUAACUGUUUUAUUAAUU